UGGUGGGUGGAGUUCUCAGAGUCGGAGGACGGCUGUGUAAGGCAGCUAUGCCUGAAGUCAAGCACCCCGUCAUUCUUUCCAAAAUCUUCACAUAUCUACACUUAUCCGCCACAUAAAUCAACUAACAGGACAUGGUGGAAGAAUCACAUGUUCUCACUUCUCCGUCAAAGGUAUUGUAUCACCAAUUCAAACUCUGCACCAUGAAGAUCAUCUCAGAGUGACCAGAAGGCAAAGAGGCAAGAUUGAGCAUAAGAUGGCAGAUUUGCCACUUGAAGGCUCAUGCCAGACAUCCUGCCAUUUACCAACGUAGACUCGUCUAUGAAAACCAUAAGAAGAUGUAUGUGCAGAAGAGGACAAGUACAACAUGCAACAUCUGAUAUAACAUCUGGCAUAUGUCGCAAGUCACGACUUCACGGGAGAGCCGUUUGAACUGAAAAAAAUGUUUUUAUCAAAAUGCGUUUUUGUUUUGCAGGAAGGCCUUCUCGAACAUGUGAACUUUCAUGUGCCUUAAUAACAAACUUUUAUGCCAUCUGUAAAUACGAAUACAAUUGUGAAAAUUACGAGCGUAGUUGGUUUAGCCAAAGAAAAAGUCAGGAACCUUGAUUGGCUGAGAUAAUGAGUCGACUGGACAUGCCGAGAAAUUAGUUUCAAAUUGGUCUGCGGUGGAGCAUCUUGUAUCUAUAAAAUGAGCUGCUCGAUAUGCGUAGAAAAUCCUUUCUACUGCAUUUUAUUCUAAAGAUAUAACGUUAGCCAUAGAUAACUGCAAAUAUGUUGCUACUGCUUUCAAUAAAAUUGCUGCCCUGAAUUUAUCAGGCGCUAUCGACAAAGGUUAGUGGGAAAAAGUUGCGAUGGACUACUUUCUGGGGGACGAUCAAUGGUGUUGUUGUCAAGGAAGAAGCUGACAAGAGUUUUGAAAUCAUUGGAACGCAAUAGGCCAUAUAAGCUGUCCAAAAUAAACGGAAAUUAGACAGGACGUCUUAUUUAAUAAAAGGGGUUGCAGUCUGUCGUGAAGCUUUCAUCCAUGUAUACAGCAUCAGUAGAACGCGCCUGACUCUCCACCAGUCAUACAAUGAGAAUGGUCUAAUGCCUCCCAUCAAAAAGAGAGCUCGCCCAAGCAAGCAAAGGCAGCAGCGCAGUCAUCAACUACAUGCACAAGCUCCACCACAGUCUUGCCCUUCACUUCCUGAUCACAGCCACACCAAGUUUGUCCCCGAUAGGUGCUUCGGCCUCAUCAAGCAGCGCUUCAAAAAGACCAGAGUGAGCACUUUGUCUGAGACUGCUGGUGUUGUGAAGGACAGCACUGUGACAGGGGUCAACAUCCCACAGCUGGUUGGACUGGAGGAUGGUACGAUGCUGGUGGAAAGAUAUGGCUGGCAACAACACCUGACUCCGUACUUCAGGCCACUGCCACAGAUCAAUCAGUACCAGCACUUCAGAUUGUCACCAAGGAGCGUUCAGACAGUCGGGACCAGAUUUAAGCUGUUGCACAACACUGACAUCCUUCCGCCCAUAGAUGGUCUUCCUGUACAUGCACCACCUGGGCUGGACACAGCUAGACAAACUUGUAUUUUUGAGGCCUCCCGGGUGGCGCAGUGGUUAAGGGCGCUGUACUGCAGCGCCAGCUGGGUUCACGCCCAGGCUCUGUCGUAACCGGAGGCGAUGCACAAUUGGCCUAGCGUCGUCCGGGUUAGGGAGGUUUGGCCGAUAGGGAUAUCCUUGUCUCAUCGCGCACCAGCGGCUCCUGUGGCGGGCCGGGACACAUUGGUGCAGCUGGCUUCCGGGUUGGAUUUCGCGCUGUUUUAAGAAGCAGUGCGGCUUGUGUAUCGGAGGACGCAUGACUUUCAACCUUCGUCUCUCCCGAGCCCGUACCGGAGUUGUAGCGAUGAAACAAGACAGUAGCUACUAAAACAAUUGGAUAUCACGAAAAAGGGGUACAAAUAAAAUAAAAAAUGUAUAUUUUUGAGAAGAUAUGAGAGUUUUGCAACGAAGAGGCUAUGGACAUCACAUGCCCUGUUCCAAAGUCAAGGGCAAGACAGAAACAGGCUCUCUGCUAACACAUACGCCAUGCUACUAUUUUUUUUUAUCCAUCUGCUCAGCCACUUUACCUCGUCUAUCACUGAUAUCGUUCUUGUACAUACUGUAUACUAUUUUAUUUAUAUUGACACUAUUUCUGAUAUUGUUACUAUGCAAGUAGCCAUUUGCCUGUACUGUUUACACCUUCUGUAGAGACCCAUCCACUUAGCAAGACAGAAAAAUAUUGAUAUAUAAAAUUAAUAUUGAUAUGUG